UGCAAGUCGAACGAUGAUCCCUAGCUUGCUGGGGGGAUUAGUGGCGAACGGGUGAGUAACACGUGAGUAACCUGCCCUUGACUCUGGGAUAAGCCUGGGAAACUGGGUCUAAUACUGGAUAUGACCGACUAUCGCAUGGUGGUUGGUGGAAAGCUUUUGUGGUUUUGGAUGGACUCGCGGCCUAUCAGCUUGUUGGUGGGGUAAUGGCCUACCAAGGCGACGACGGGUAGCCGGCCUGAGAGGGUGGACGGCCACACUGGGACUGAGACACGGCCCAGACUCCUACGGGAGGCAGCAGUGGGGAAUAUUGCACAAUGGGCGCAAGCCUGAUGCAGCGACGCCGCGUGAGGGAUGAAGGCCUUCGGGUUGUAAACCUCUUUCAGUAGGGAAGAAGCGAAAGUGACGGUACCUGCAGAAGAAGCGCCGGCUAACUACGUGCCAGCAGCCGCGGUAAUACGUAGGGCGCAAGCGUUAUCCGGAAUUAUUGGGCGUAAAGAGCUCGUAGGCGGUUUGUCGCGUCUGCCGUGAAAGUCCGGGGCUUAACUCCGGAUCUGCGGUGGGUACGGGCAGACUUGAGUGAUGUAGGGGAGACUGGAAUUCCUGGUGUAGCGGUGAAAUGCGCAGAUAUCAGGAGGAACACCGAUGGCGAAGGCAGGUCUCUGGGCAUUAACUGACGCUGAGGAGCGAAAGCAUGGGGAGCGAACAGGAUUAGAUACCCUGGUAGUCCAUGCCGUAAACGUUGGGCACUAGGUGUGGGGGACAUUCCACGUUUUCCGCGCCGUAGCUAAC
rnacentral:rRNA from 2 species